AUUUGAUUGUGUUUCUUGUUCUUUCCACUUUGCAGGUCUAUAGAAUGGCAGUUGGAAAGUUUGUUGGCUGAAUAUAUAUAUAUAUAUAUAUAUAUAUAUAUGUUAAAAAUCCAUGCAUUUUGCGAACGUUACACUGCGACAACCAUUUUCCAGAAAACACACCAUAUUUAUCAUUGAUAAUCUCAGAGCCUGAACAUCGGAAUAGAUUUCACACAAGAUUCUAUAGGACUCCAAAACAUUCCCGUUUCCAAGCCACAGUUUUAUUCUACGUAGUUCUUCACCCAUUCGACAUUCGCUCCCAUGGUUCCAGGCCCCAGAGAUCACUCACAAACUUUCAUUAAUUGACGCAGCGGCUGCCAUUCCAGCGCCACCCACGCUGGCAUCGAUGGCAGCUGUUGUCAUACCAGUACCAAUUGCAUUGCACGCAGCGAGAUCCAUUCCAGUACCAUCCCCUGCGGCAGCGCUGCGCCACCGCCUUGGUGAUCCCCCCGACCUCCACUCCCACCGCCAGGAGCAUCACAAACAUCACAACCAGGCCCAGGCACACCAAUCGAGUCUUGCUGCUUGCCAUAGCAAUCGGUCAAUCAAUCGAUCAAUCGAUUGGAAUUGGAGAAGAGAGAAGGAGCAAACCAAAGCGAAAGAACAAAGGAGCUCUAGAGAGUGUGUGGGGGAUUGUAAGAGAUGUGCUGUUUAUAUAGCGUCGAGAGUGUGUGGAUAGAUACAAAGACCGCGCAGUUCCAGGCCAAAGUCUUUCAUUACAAUUCGCGCCCACCAUUUGAAAAGACUCAAUUAAGGUUUGCAUUUGUUAAAAUCGGUCACCACUUGGCAUAAUCCGCAACGUUGAGUUUGGACGGUCAGGAUUGCAGAUCAUUUUCUCUGUUCUUUAGACGGGAAUGGGGUCUUCUCAAGUUCGGGGUCGCGGCAUUUGGAUUUCUAGGGCUCUUGCUGGGGAGUGAGGGAGCGGCGCGAUUCUCCCCUUACAUUUUAUGCGUGGAAGGAAUGUGGUGCUUGUCUCACUCUCAUAGGUAUUUCUCUCUUAGUUUUUGUUUCCUUCUUCUUAGACAACAAUGUAUUUGUUUGUAAGGGGUCCUUUGCUGCUCAUGGAGCUCGCUGUGCUUCUCAUAAACGCUAGCGCACGAAAGUCUUAAAUUACUUUGUUACUGCAGGUUUCCAGAGACCUCUUUCUCAAUGCAUUCGCACAGGCCUUGAAAAUUCUGGUGUCUAGUGCUGGAAUUUACGCUGUUACAGUCGGAAGCGACUGUGGAGCUGCGAGAGCUUGUCGAGAAGAACAAUGUUGCCACCAAUGUGUUUUUUUCUUUACAGACUUUUACACUGUUUGACUUGGACCAACGAAAUAUGACCAUUGGCUAGCUAUGUAAUUCUGUUCACUUUUUCGAUGAAUCAUAUAGUUUUUAGUAAUAUCUUUGUUCCAACUUGGCCUGAUCUCUCGUACAACAUGCGUUCGUGUCCACUAUUCUAGUACAUUCUUGUGGAUUUUAAAGGACAAAACCACAUACACCAGACUCUCUUGGCUUGAUCGGUUUUUGGAGCUUGCAGACCAGGCAAUUCUUAUCUUAUCCAAACACCAGAGCCGGCCAAAUACCACAAAAAACUUAAAGAUCAGUAACAUAAUUCUUGCUGUUUUGUUUGCUACAUAACAACCAAAGAACUGCCACGCAAGAAAAGCUCCAUGCUUGGAGACAAGAAUCUACUCCAGAUGAAAUUAAACAGAUCACAUUUAUCCUAAUUAGGAUUUAGGAGGAUCUUACAUCAUUCAAACAAAACCUUCCGAUUUAUGGUGUUGAUAGAUUUUUGGGCUUAUCCAUGACUCCGGAUAUCUAAGGUUUUCCAGCAGCGGCCAUUGCGCCAGCUCCAGCCGCUCUGGAAUACCAGCAUUUCGGGCAGCGAUGACAACCAUUGUAAUACCAGUACCACCCUCUCUGGCAGCGCUGGGCAGCUUUGCGAUUCCUCCCCCCGUCCACUCCCAUAUCAUCACAAACAUGGCAACAAGCCCAAGGCAAACCAGCUGAGUCUUGCUCAUCGCUGGACUGCUAUUGCGAGUGAAAAGAACAAGAAACCAAAUAAGCACUAUUAGAGAGCUUCAAAGAUCUUCUGAGCACUGAGUCUGUUAGAAGAGAAAUUGUGGAAAUCUCUCCUGAGAGGGGUAUCUAUAUACUCACCCUUGCGACGAAGAAAGUUUCCGCGUGCAUUGUUUGUGGAUAACUUUGUGGCUCAUCCGUUGGUCUUGGGAAGGAUCAGAUUUGUUGACAAUUUGGUUUUCUAAUACGCUUUUCGUCCUUCUAUAAUAUAAUGUUAAUUUCAUUAUUAAUGCUAUUUUAAUGUCAUAUCAUGCUAAACCACCAUUCACUGCUUCUGGUGCAAAGUACGAGCUAGAUUUAUCGGGCAAUAGUUGCUCGGUUGCGAGUAUAUAGACACCCUCAGCUCUUAUUGUCGAUUUAAUAUAUGAUAUUAAUGAAAAUUUGGCUGGAGUGUUUGGAAUCACUUCUACCACGUGGUCGAUCAAUUUGCAAUCAGCCAGUAGCAUCGAUUGUCUCACCUCGAGGCAUGAGUCGCGCCCCUGCCGGAAAAACAGAGAUCUCCGGGAUCAUGGAUAAGCACAAAAAUUUAUAACUCAAGAAUCAACACCAUAACUCGUAAGGUUUUUCAUGUUCACCAGGAUCUUCUGAAUAUCUAUGCUGUUUUAGAUCUUGUGUAUUAGAAUAAUAAAAAAAUUCAUCCGAUGUAAAAAUGUUGUUUGUGUGGUCAGGUCAUUCAGCUUUUCUUGGGUGACGGUUGCUUCUCUCCUUUUGUCAUGUUGGUGUUGUUAUGUAGCAAACUGAAUAGCAAGAAUAAUUGAUGCCGUAAACACAAAUACCAGUUUACGGCAUCAAUAUUUCUAGUAGAUCUAUACCAUUUUAUUGUUUGGCGGUUUUUGGCCGGCGCCUGAUCUGCAAGCUCCAAAACCCAACCCGAUCAAGCCAAGAAAAAGCAAUAAUUUCAAGAGUAUGUGGCUUUGUCCUAACUAAAUAAUGUACUAGAAGCUCAUAAUAUAGUGGAUACGAACGCAUGUUGUACCAGAGAGCAGGUCAAGUUGUGUUGGAACAAACAUAAAACUACUAAAAAUUAUAUGAUUCAUUGAAAGAGUGAACAGAAGAAUCAUAUUCUUAUCAAUAUUUCUUCUUUCCCUUGGUCCAAGUCAAGUAUUAUAGGUCAAGCCGCGGAGGUAAUGGAGAAGUUGGUUUGCCACGAGAGACUUUUAAUUCAAAGAGUGUUGGAAACACAAGGUAUGCUCUCGAUCUGCGUCCCAGUGAUCGAUUAGAUCCAAUCUUUUGUUAAAGUAAAUAUAAUAUACUACCAUAUUAUUAACAGACUUCGUCAAAUCGAGAAGGAUCGUCGUACUUAGGAAACCAAGUUGUCAACGAAUUUGAUCCUUCCCAAGACCAAGUCUCCAAGUAAAAUCGGCGCGUCAACCGCUGCCAAAAAACCACGAGGAAACUUGCUCGGUUGUUAUAGAGAGACUCCCUCUUCUAUCCAGAGGAUCCGCAGAGACUCCUUGUUCUUUUUACUUGCAGUAGCAGUGUGUUCAGAGGUAGGAUCUGGUCCAGCUACAAUUCGGACUUAUCUAAGUCUCGACGUGUACACAGUAGCACCCAGGAGGUAGUACCCAGGAGGCAGAUUUGAAUCUGAUCUCUUUUCCAGACUAAGUCUAGCUAACACGAUUGCUCGGUCGUUGCAGGGGGCGUAUAUAUAACGCGCCUCACUCUAUCAAGACGAAAUCACCACACUUACACUUCUCUUAUAAUCCACAGGUUUUACUCUUAGAGUGGCAGCAAUGGCGAUGGACAAAAUUCGUCUGGCUUGCCUUGGGCUUGUUGCCAUGUUUGUGUUGCUCGUGAUUAUGGGAGUGGACGUGGGAGGAAUCGCAAACGCUGCUGCCCAGCGCUGCAAGUCGGGGUGGUAUUGGUAUGACAAUGGUUGCCACCGUUGCCCGAGGGGGCGCAAAAAUCGCUGCUGAAGCCUCUGCUUUUAAGGGGUAAGCGCAAUUCUCAAUUCAACUCGUAAUCUCUAUGAGUGCAUUGCCAGGGUCUGGAAACAAGAAUAAAAAGACACCGGACUGGUAACAUGUUUGUGUGGAACAAAUAAAAUAUAUUUUUGUUUUUUUCUUUCUCUUUUUGUUUUUUUGUUUUUUCUUUUUUUGCUUCAUCUCGAGAGUUUUGAGCUCCCGUGGCAAUACUUCCUCAUCGUCUAGCAACCUUUCUUCUUGGUUUACAAACUAGAAAAUUAAGCUUUUUGGAUCAAUGGCUAUCUUCGUGUUGGGAAUGGAACCCAUGUUGUGAGACAACCACAUGAUUUGCAGGUGGAAGUAACUCGCAUGAUGAAGCCGGCUACGAACGCAUUAUCGAGCAACAUUAGGUUCGAGAUAGUCGGAGGACCUCUUUUGUUCCGUUUGGAUUCGGUGCCACAGAUAAUCACGCAAGUAGCAGGAUCUCUGGCAUCAGUGGCAACUUCCGCCAUACCAAUACCAGCUUUUCGGGCACCGGUAACAACCAUUGUCAUACCAGUACCACUGGCAGCGCUUGGCAGCAACCUUUGCGAUUCCUCGCAUGUCCAUUCCCAUGGCCACAAACAUGGCAAGGCGAACAAGGCAAACCAGGCAAACCAGUUGAGUCUUGCUUUGCUCUAUACUCGAAAAGAACAAGAAUCCAAGAUCUUCUGAAAGGAAACUUGUAUUGAUUUGAUUAUGGUUUUUUGUUCUUUUCUCUUGCAGAGUGGCAGCAAUGGCGAUGGACCAAUGGCUGCCACCGUUGCCAGACAAACUGGGAUUAGAAUAGUUUGAGCUGCGAAAUAUAUUUUCUCUAUUAAUCUCUAAAGAUUAAGCUUGGCUCACGAUCAAUAUAACACUACCAACAUUAUAAUAUAGACAUGUAUCCAGAGCUAGCUAACCAGUGUAGCUACGACAGACUUUGUCAAGUCGAUGUGGAAGGACAAAUAGCUUUACUUCCGUAUUAUCGAGAGUACUACGUACUUAGAAAACCAAAUUGCCAGCGGAUCUGAUCCUUCCAAGACCAAGUCUAGCAAACGGCAAAGUUAUCCGCGAACAAUGCUAGCAGAAACUUGUUAACAUAGAUUGGCUUUUUCACACCCCAAAAGCUCAUUAAAGGGCAGUAAUAUAGGUAUAAAUACACUUUUAAUUGUGGCUGACAACUUUCCAGAAAACAGACCAUAUUUAUCAUUGAUAGUCUCAGAGCAGAUUUCACACAAGAUUCUAUAGGACUCCAAAACAUUCUCGUUUCGAAGCCACAGUUUUAUUCUAUGUACUUCUUCACCCAUUCGACAUUCGCUGGCAGGCCCCAGAGAUCACUCACAAACUUUCAUUAAUUGACGCAACGGCUGCCAUUCCAGCGCCACCCACGCUGGCAUCGAUGGCAGCUGUUGUCAUACCAGUACCAAUUGCAUUGCACGCAGCGAGAUCCAUUCCAGUACCAUCCCCUGCGGCAGCGCUGCGCCACCGCCUUGGUGAUCCCCCCGACCUCCACUCCCACCGCCAGGAGCAUCACAAACAUCACAACCAGGCCCAGGCACACCAAUCGAGUCUUGCUGCUUGCCAUAGCAAUCGGUCAAUCGAUCGAUCGAUCGAUUGGAAUUGGAUAAGAAAGAAGGAGCAAACCAAAGCGAAAGAACAAAGGAGCUCUAGAGAGUGUGUGGGGGAUUGUAAGAGAUGUGCUGUUUAUAUAGCGUCGAGAGUGUGUGGAUAGAUACAAAGACCGCGCGGUUCCAGGCCAAAGUCUUUCAUUACAAUUCGCGCCCACCAUUUGAAAAGACUCUUGAAUUUGUUAAAAUCGGUCGCCACUUGGCAUAAUCGCCAACGUUGAGUUUUGGACGGUCAUGAUUGCAGAUCUUUUUCUUUUUUUAGAUCGAUGAUCAGGAACGAUCAAGCGCAGCGCAGGAUUGCUAUCGCUUGUCAAGCUCGGCUUCGCAGCAUUUGGAUUUCUAGGGCUCUUGUUGAAAGAGUGAGGGAGCGGUGGGAUGUUCCUCCGCAUGGCCUACAUUUUAUGCGCGGAGUGCUUGUCUCGCAUGAGCUCACUCUCACAGGUAUUUCUUGUAAGCAACCAAAGGGAACGACUCGAGAGACGGUCCAUGAGGUUCAAAUAUAAAAGGAAAGGGCCUAUGAACAAGAGUGCACCCCUUUUUUCAAUCGGUUAAGGGUCUUGGGAUAUUUGGGGUUAAGUGUCCUUGGGUUUGAAUAGUACUGGGCUGGGUGACUUCCCGGGAAGUCCAAAUUUAAGAGCUUACAUUUGGUAUCAGAGCGGUCUCAGGUCCGACUCUGUUGGUUGGCUAAGGGAAUCGCACCAUAUGUUGAUUGACGUCUGGCUGGAGCGAGGCUCUCAGCUUCCGUUCACGAGGGCGUGAACUUGCAGGGAAGCAUAGUGGAUUGUAAGUGCCCUCGUGAACUUGCAGGGAAGCAUAGUGGAUUGUAAGCAACUAAAGGGAACGACUCGAGAGACGGUCCAUGAGGUUCAAAUAUAGAGGGAAAGGGCCCAUGAACAAAAGUGCACCCCUUUUUCCAAUUGGUUAAGGAUCUUUGGGUUUGAAUAGUACUGGGUUGGGUGACUUCCUAGGAAAUCCAAAUUUAGGAGCUUACAUUUCUCUCUUAGUUUUUGUUUCCUUAAGGAUGUAUUUUGUUGUAGGGGUCCUUUUCUGCUCAUGGAGAUCGCUGUGCUUCUCAAAACACUGGCGCCACUGUCCAGUGGAUUACUAUCAAAGUGAUGAAGUUACCGAAAAUCUAAGGAAUCCUGGUGAAUGAAUAACUUACCUAGUCUUGUUCUUGAGUGAAUUGAUUCUUUUGGUUCCAGCAAAAGGAGAAGAGACUCUCCGCGCAGCGGUUGAUUCGGACUUCGUUUUCCUCAAGUGGAUCGAUUCUACGCUCCCAAAGUUCUGUGGUGGAUUCCCGGUCACUACUUCACGCUCAAUUAUGUCAACGUAUGCCCGAGAUUGCUGCAGUGAUGAUAGACUCUCAUGCCACAGCCGAGUAUUGGAACAACAGGACACAACAGCAUCUUGGGUAAGGAAUAGAGCCUUCUUUCGAUAUCUUACGAUAUGAAAGUGCGUGAUAAAUCUUUUUAGUUCUCCAGGAUAAAGAUCCCAAAGGUGCAUCUGGGAAAUAGCAAACAUCUCACGGAAGCAGCGCAAAUUCCUCUCGCUCGUCAUUUGCUCCGUCAGCAUGUAAGAGAAUCGCUCAGUAUUUCGACCGCGAUGUUAUGUUCUCCGCGAUCAACAGUAAGCUCUACUUAAACUUUUAAGCAUGAAAGUCUGAAUUUACGUGUAUUGCAGGUAUUUCCAGAGGCGAAGGCCAGGACCUCUUUCUCAAGGCAGGCCGAAAACUCUAGGGUCUAGUGCUGGAAUUUACGCUGUUACAGUCGGAAGCGACUGGAUCGGGCAGCCAAAGUUUGAAGCGGAACUGCGAGAGCUUGUCGAGAAGACACCAAUGUGUACUUUUAAACUGUUUGACUUAGACCAACGAAAGAAUAAGAAUAUGACUAUUGGCUAGCUGUGUAAUUCUGUUCAUAAUUUUUGGUAAUAUGUUUGUUCCAACUUGGCCUCUCUCGUACAACAUGCGUUCGUGUCCACUAUUCUAGUACGUUCUUGUGAACUUUAAAGGACAAAACCACAUAGACCAGACUCUCCUGGCUUGAUUGGGUUUUGGAGCUUGCAGACCAGGCGAUUCUUAUCUUAUCCAAACACCAGUGCCGGCCAAAUACCGCCACAAUCUAAAAGAUAAGUAACAUAAUUCUUGCUGUUCUGUUUGCUACAUAACAACACAGAACUGCCACCCAAGAAAAGCUCAGUGCAUAGUGCCUAAUCUACUCCAGAUGAAAUUAAACAGCACAAACACCUUAUCGUUUUAUUUUAAUUAGGAUUUAAUAAUCACAAAAACCCCUCAAUUGAACCUCUUACAAUUAUGGCCACAGCUGUGUCUUGCUAAUCACCAUUGUCCUCGUGCUUAAAUAGCACAUUCCCAAACAAAAGUUUGUAGUUGGCUUUACGCUCGCUCUUGGCAGCAUAGCAGUCGGCGUUCUUCCCCAAUCGUGAAAUGACAGAGGACUUUGUCUUUGCUUCUCCCCAGAUAUAGAAUCUAGGUCACCCAUGAUGGCGGAAAACAUCAGAAAUCCCAACCGUAUUUCUAACAUGGAAAUUUUAGGGUUCUUCGUUUGCCUUUGCAGGGUCCCCCAUGACUUCUUACUUGCAGUAGCAAAAGGGAUCUGGUCCUAGUUACACUUGAAGUGAGAACAAAUGAAGGUCAUAGACAUAACAUCACCAACAUGACAGUAAAUAUUUAUUUUGGUGAGGUAGUAUAUAGUCGCCCUUGCAACGACCGAGCAAAUUUCUACGUGCAUUUUUGGCGGACGCACGCCGCAUUAGAGUUGGAGACUUGGUCUUGGGAAGGAUCAGAUUCGUUGACAAAUUGGUUCCGAUAAUAGUACCACAGAUAAUGGACAAGUAGCAGGCUUCGAAUUCUCUGGCUAGUACAUAGUACCACGCGGUAAUACGGAAAAAAAGCUUUCCAAUUUUGUUUUCUUCCGUUCAUACCGAUCUGACGAAGUCUGUUAGUCAAAUCGUAGCUCGACACUGUCAUGAAAUGGUUACUAACCUGUUCUAUAUUGACUUCAACAAAAUAUUGGAGCUAGUCGAUCACCAGAAACACUAUUCGAAUUAUAAAAGUCUUCUCCAUUACCUCAGCGACUUGACCUAUAAUGUUGCUCGAGAAAUCUCUGGACUGGACAUCCUGGUACCAUAAAAGCUCGGUAAAGAAAAUCACAUUCCCCAGUGAGAGCCCUCAUCACUUUAUUCUAUUUAGUUUUUUUUUUUGGCAUGAUUUCUUACCAGAUUUGCCCAAUCUCAGUUUCGCCCGCAGUGGCCAUUCCGGCUCAAAUCAUUCUGGCAUCGACAGCAGCUUCCAUACCGAUGCCAGUUUUUCUGGAAACGGUGGCAACUAUUGUCAUACCAAUACCGUCCUCUCUGGCAGCGCUGGGCAGCAACCUUUGCAACUCCUCCGCCCACUCCCAUGGCCAGCAGCAUCAUCACAAACAUGACAACAAGCCCAAACCAAAUCAUGCCUAUCGCCAUAGCAAGCUUAGUGCUUAGAAGCCUAAGUACUGAGAGUGCAAAGAACGAGCUUUGACCUUCUGGAUCUGGAUGAUGUUUAGAAGAAAGUGGGAAACCUCUCUUGAGAGGCGUGUCUAUAUACUACAACCGAGCAAGCAUUAUGUCAUGCAUUAAUCUCACGAGGGAAUAUGCUAAGUCGUUGCCAGCCGUGGCAGGAGCAAAAUAAUUUAUAGGUGGGAGUGUCUAAAAUCACUUCUACUGAUCGAGAUGGGUACGCUUCUGAUCAAGAGCAUGCCUCCCAGGCAUCAGUCAUCCAGGGAAUUCGAAGCCUGCUACUUGCCUAUUAUCUGUGGCACCGAAUCAAAAAGGAAGAGUUCCUCUGACUUUCUUGAAAUUCUUCCGGAUAAUGUUGCUCGAGAAAACGUUCGCUCACGCAUUAGGUCGAGAAUGCGUUCGUGGCCGGCUUCAUUUUGCGAGCUCUCAACUUCUUGAAAGUCCAGCUCGGCAAAGAAAAUCACGUUGACUGGUGUGGAUUCAAUCGCUGGCCUUGUCUCUUAGUUCCAGUCCCAACAUGAAAGGGCUAAUCUUCGAGUUUGCAAAUCAAGAAGAACAAAGUCCAAGCAACACAACAAAAGAAGUAAAAUGGCACCCAAGAGAAGCGCCUGGAGUCAAAAUCAAGUAAACUCUAAAUGAAAAAUACAUCUUUGACUUUCAAGGCCUGGACAAUUUAUAUAUAUCAUUGCUGGACGCAAGGUCAUGCAUCACAAGUUCCAGACCCUGGCACUGCAGCAUGAUCAAAGGCAAUUACUGUUGAUUCUUAACUUGGGCUUCAGUUUGCUUCAAGGUUUCAGUUGCGCCAGUUCCAACCCCUCUGGCAACGGUGUUGUCAUACCGAUACCACCCCACUGGCAGCGCUGGGCCGCAUGCUUGCGAUUCCUCCCACGUCGACGCCCAUUACCAGGAGCAACACAAACAUGCGGAUGAGCCCAAGGCCAGCCACACGAAUCUUGUCCAUCCCCAUCGCUAUAGACUUCAGUGCCACUGAAUGAACAAGAAACAAUAUCCUAAAGAGUUAAAAUCAUAUAACCUGGAGUUGGAUCUUGAGAAAAGAAGACACGACCAGGCAACUUAUAUUGAUUGCUGUAGAGAUCAGAUUCGACGACAAAUUUGUCUGAGUCAUAUGGAAUAGAUUUUCCAAAAUUAGUAAUAUAUAUACAUACAUACAUAUACACAUACAUACAUAUAUAUAUACAUACAUAUAUAUAUACAUACAUAUAUAUACAUAUAUAUACAUAUAUACAUAUAUAUAUAUAUAUAUAUAAAUAUAUAAAAAUUAUAAUUUGACUUAACCAAAGACUUGGAACUCUUGUAUGUACACUCACUAUAAUGGUACCAAAAGCCAGACGCUUUACUCCAGAUUUCUGUAACCAGAUUCUCUGCUUCAAUCUCAAUAGUUGGCAUUCUUUGUUUAUUAGUAUAUAUCUAUAUAUAUUUUUUGUCAUUCUGUGCACAGCUGUUUAACGUUUUUUGGCUGCCCAUAUAUUAAAAAUCCAUACAUUGCGAACGUUACACAGCAACAACUUUUUUCCCGAAAACACUCCAUAAUUAUCAUUGACAGUCUCAGGGCCUGUACAUCUCAAAAACUUGAAUAGAUCUCACACAAGAUUCUACAGGACUCCAAAACAUUCUCGUUUCGAAGCCACACUCUUAUUCUAUGACUUGCUCUCCCCCAAAGAUAUCACUCACAAACUUUGGCGAUUCUUCAGCGGCUGCAGCGGCUGCCAUUCCAGCGCCACCCGCGCUGGCAUCGAUGGCAGCUGUUGUCAUACCAGUACCAAUUGCAUUGCACGCAGCGGAAUCCAUUCCAGUACCAUCCUCCACGGCAGCGUUGCGCUACCGCCUUGGUGAUGCCCCCGACUUCCACUCCCACCGCCAGGAGCAUCACAAACAUCACAACAAGGCCCAGGCACACCAAUCGAGUCUUGCUGCUUGCCAUGAUCAAUCGAUUGAUUGGAAGUCUAGGUAGGGAUUUGGAGAAGAAAGGAGACAAAGCGAAGGAACUUGAAAGGAGCUCUAGAGUGU
rnacentral:lncRNA from 1 species